rnacentral:rRNA from 1 species
AACGAACGCUGGCGGCGUGCCUAAUACAUGCAAGUCGAACGAGGAGCCAUUGUAUUCGUACGGUGGAUUUCCUAGUGGCGAACGGGUGAGUAACGCGUUGGUGACCUGCCCCAAAGAGAGGGAUAACAGUUCGAAAGGACUGCUAAUACCUCAUGUGGUCACAGAGGCUAGAGGCUCUGUGUCUAAAGGAGCAAUCCGCUUUGGGAGGGGCCUGCGUCCCAUCAGCUAGUUGGUAGGGUAAUGGCCUACCAAGGCGACGACGGGUAGGGGACCUGAGAGGGUGACCCCCCACACUGGCACUGAAACACGGGCCAGACACCUACGGGUGGCAGCAGUAGGGAAUAUUGCACAAUGGGCGAAAGCCUGAUGCAGCAACGCCGCGUGCACGAUGAAGGCCUUCGGGUCGUAAAGUGCUUUUCGGGGAGAUGAGGAAGGACAGUAUCCCCGGAAUAAGGAUCGGCUAACUACGUG